UACGGAGGAUCCAAGCGUUAUCCGGAAUCAUUGGGUUUAAAGGGUCCGUAGGCGGCCUUAUAAGUCAGCGGUGAAAGUUUUUGGCUUAACCAAAAAAUUGCCGUUGAUACUGUGAGGCUUGAAUAUUUGUGAAGUAACUAGAAUAUGUAGUGUAGCGGUGAAAUGCUUAGAUAUUACAUGGAAUACCAAUUGCGAAGGCAGGUUACUAACAAAUUAUUGACGCUGAUGGACGAAAGCGUGGGUAGCGAACAGG
rnacentral:rRNA from 1 species